rnacentral:rRNA from 1 species
GAUGAACGCCGGCGGCGUGCCUAAUACAUGCAAGUCGAGCGAACUGAUUAGAAGCUUGCUUCUAUGACGUUAGCGGCGGACGGGUGAGUAACACGUGGGCAACCUGCCUGUAAGACUGGGAUAACUUCGGGAAACCGAAGCUAAUACCGGAUAGGAUCUUCUCCUUCAUGGGAGAUGAUUGAAAGAUGGUUUCGGCUAUCACUUACAGAUGGGCCCGCGGUGCAUUAGCUAGUUGGUGAGGUAACGGCUCACCAAGGCAACGAUGCAUAGCCGACCUGAGAGGGUGAUCGGCCACACUGGACUGAGACACGGCCCAGACUCCUACGGGAGGCAGCAGUAGGGAAUCUUCCGCAAUGGACGAAAGUCUGACGGAGCAACGCCGCGUGAGUGAUGAAGGCUUUCGGGUCGUAAAACUCUGUUGUUAGGGAAGAACAAGUACAAGAGUAACUGCUUGUACCUUGACGGUACCUAACCAGAAAGCCACGGCUAACUACGUGCCAGCCGCCGCGGUAAAAC